AGGACGAACGCUGGCGGCGUGCUUAACACAUGCAAGUCGUGGGGGGGUGUUGGGCAACCAACACCUCACCGGCGAACGGGUGCGUAACACGUGAGCAACCUACCGAUUUCUGGGGGAUAGCCGGCCCAACGGCCGGGUAAUACCGCAUACGCUCUUCGAGGGGAGUCUCUUGAAGAGGAAACCUCCGGGGGAAAUCGAGGGGCUCGCGGCCUAUCAGCUUGUUGGCGAGGUAAUGGCUCACCAAGGCUAUGACGGGU
rnacentral:rRNA from 1 species